GCGGCUCAUUGUGCCCAUGGCCGCCGAGAUGAGCUCAGAGGUUUCCGAACCGGUGGCUCUGACAGCACCGAGCAACCCGGUGACACCCGGCUCCGGGCAGGUGAGGGUGAUAGGAGCUGUGCCUGCCCGCGGAGGGAAGCGGCGCUCGGGACUGGAAUUUGACGAUGAAGAUGGAGAAGGGCCUAGCAAAUUUUCAAGAGAGAAUCACAGUGAAAUUGAGAGACGACGUCGAAACAAGAUGACUGCCUACAUCACAGAACUAUCUGACAUGGUGCCAACGUGCAGUGCUUUAGCACGUAAACCUGAUAAACUGACGAUUUUACGCAUGGCUGUUUCACAUAUGAAGUCUUUAAGGGGAACAGGCAAUACUUCCACUGAUGGUGCCUAUAAGCCUUCAUUCCUAACAGAAAAGGAGUUGAAGCAUCUGAUUUUGGAAGCAGCAGAUGGAUUCCUUUUUGUAGCUGCAGCUGAGACUGGAAGAAUCAUCUAUGUUUCAGACUCUGUUACACCUGUUUUGAACCAUCCACAGUCUGAAUGGUUUGGAAGUACCUUGUAUGAUCAGGUUCAUCCAGAUGAUGUGGAGAAACUGAGAGAGCAGCUGUCUACAUCAGAAAGUUCCAUGACUGGCCGUAUUCUGGAUCUCAAGACUGGAACAGUUAAAAAGGAAGGGCAGCAGUCUUCAAUGAGAAUGUGCAUGGGAUCCAGACGAUCCUUUAUUUGUAGAAUGAGGUAUGGAACAGCUCCCUUGGAACACAUCUCGUUAAGUAGGCUGACUGUUCUGCGGAAGAGAUACAGGAAUGGCUUGGGACCUGUCAAGGAAGGAGAAUCACAGUAUUCAGUAGUGCACUGCACUGGAUAUAUCAAAGCUUGGCCACCAGCAGGAAUGACCCUUCCAGAGGAGGAAUCAGAUGGCGGACAAAGCAGUAAAUUUUGCCUUGUUGCAAUUGGACGCCUGCAGGUAACAAGCUCACCUGUGUGCAUGGAUAUGAAUGGACUCGCCAUCCCAACAGAAUUCCUGUCCAGGCACAAUUCAGACGGACUCUUUACAUUCGUGGAUCAUAGAUGCAUCACAGUCAUUGGCUAUCAACCGCAGGAGCUACUGGGAAAGGAUAUUGUAGAGUUUUGCCAUCCCGAAGAUCAAAGCCACGUGCGGGACAGCUUCCAGCAGGUUGUGAAAUUGAAAGGGCAGGUCCUGUCAGUGAUGUACCGUUUCCGAACAAAAAGCAGGGAGUGGUUAUGGAUAAGGACAAGCAGUUUUACUUUCCAGAAUCCCUACUCAGAUGAAAUUGAAUAUAUUAUCUGCACAAAUACCAAUGUAAAGCAACUCCAGCAGCAACAACAGGCUGAACUUGAAGUCGGUCCAAGAGAAGGUCUACCUUCCUAUGACCCUUCCCAGGUCCCUGUUCCAACCGUAUCUGCUGGUGUCCAAGAGCAUGGGAAGUCAAUUGACAAAACUGACCCGUUGUUUUCUCAAGACAGAGACCCCAGGUUCACAGAUAUCUACACUGGUAUUUCACCUGGUGAAAAGAAAACAAUGUCUACAACAUCAGCUGCGGGAAGCCAGCAGAUCUACUCACAAGGGGGUUCGUUCCAGCCUGGGCGAGCAGGACAAACAUUUAGCACUUCAAUGGUACCUGGUGGAAACAUCAUUCAGCAAACAUCCUCAGCAGGCCAGAUUUUAGCUCAGAUAUCUCGCCAGUCUAACGCUAAUCAGGUCUCUGCAACAUCCUGGACUGGGAGUCGACCACCUUUCCCGGGGCAGCAAGUUGCAUCUCAAUCCGGUAAGGCUCAAUCGCCAUCUUUCGCCAUGGGAUCCAGUCAUACAUUCCCAGCGGAUCCAUCUACUUUCAGUCCCCUCUCCAGCCCUGUGUCUACAUCUUCUCCAGGAGGACCUUCUUAUACCAGCCUGGCAAAUCGAUCCACUGGUUUUGGAUAUGCAUUGAAAUCUUGCCCACAGCUGAGAGUGGACAGAGUAGUGGACAGUUCCCGGGCAGAUCAUCUGAAGGCUCGGCUGUAUGGUCUCAGUGGCAAGGCCAGCAUCACAGUCAACAGGCAAAUGAGCAGCAUACUCAUCAACAACAAGGACAACCUGAGGUCUUCCAGGAUAUGUUGUCCAUGCUUGGAGAUCCAACACAGGGGACUGGCAAUUACAACAAUGAGGACUUUGCUGAUCUAAGCAUGUUCCCAUCAUUUUCUGAAUAAAUGGCUAAUAACCCGGUGGUUGCUCAGUGACAGAUGUUUACUGAUCAAUUUCCCUAGAUGAUUUGUUUCUGUAGCCUGUGGUUUUAAAACAGAAAUCAUUUGAGGGUCAUGAGCCCUGCAUUUCAAUGUUACACUAAUGGGGUUAUCAAAUGUUUUUAUUCAUUGAGUGUCUCUGUAAAAGUUUAAUUUGCAGCAUUGUGGACAAACAAAGUGAUUUUUAUUUCAUCUGAUAUUACAAACACAAUGCAUUUAAGAUGACUUAAAUCUUUAAUCAUUUGCUAUUGUUCAUAUCUUAUGUAAUUUUUGAAUAUUGACAUUGCACGCUUAAAACAGGAAGCAAAUGUUACAAAUGUCAUUUUUGUGGUGUAUGUGUAAUGCUACUAAUAAAGCCAAGCCAAUAGCAA